rnacentral:rRNA from 1 species
GACAGAGGGUGCAAACGUUGUUCGGAUUUACUGGGCGUAAAGCGCGUGUAGGCGGCUUGGCAAGUCGGAUGUGAAAGCCCACGGCUCAACCGUGGAAGCGCAUCCGAAACUGCUUCGCUCGAGUCUCGGAGAGGAAGGUGGAAUGCUUGGUGUAGAGGUGAAAUUCGUAGAUAUCAAGCAGAACACCUGCGGCGAAGGCGGCCUGCUGGACGAUGACUGACGCUGAGACGCGAAAGCGUGGGGAGCAAACAGG